CUUAAAUUGAAGAGUUUGAUCAUGGCUCAGAUUGAACGCUGGCGGCAGGCCUAACACAUGCAAGUCGAGCGGUAGCACAGAAGAGCUUGCUCUUUGGGUGACGAGCGGCGGACGGGUGAGUAAUGUCUGGGAAACUGCCUGAUGGAGGGGGAUAACUACUGGAAACGGUAGCUAAUAC
rnacentral:rRNA from 1 species